GUAGGGAAUAUUGGGCAAUGGAUGCAAGUCUGACCCAGCCAUCCCGCGUGCCGGAAGAAGGCCCUCAGGGUUGUAAACGGCUUUUGACGGUGAAGAAUCGACAGGAUGCGUCCUGUUUUGACGGUAGCCGUUGAAUAAGCACCGGCUAACUCCAUGCCAGCAGCCGCGGUAAUACGGAGGGUGCGAGCGUUGUCCGGAUUUAUUGGGUUUAAAGGGUGCGUAGGCUGGAAGGUCAGUCAGCGGUGAAAAGCUGUCGCUUAACGAUAGUCUUGCCGCAGAUACUUCCUUUCUUGGAUGAGGAGGAGGCCACUGGAACGGAUGGUGUAGCGGUGAAAUGCAUAGAUAUCAUCCAGAACACCGAUUGCGAAGGCAGGUGGCUGUACCUUAAUCGACGCUGAUGCACGAAAGCAUGGGGAGCAAACAGGAUUAGAAACCCUAGUAGUCC
rnacentral:rRNA from 1 species